UGGGGAAUUUUGGACAAUGGGGGCAACCCUGAUCCAGCAAUGCCGCGUGUGUGAAGAAGGCCUUCGGGUUGUAAAGCACUUUUGUCCGGAAAGAAAACACGUGCCCUAAUACGGUGUGUGGAUGACGGUACCGGAAGACUAAGCACCGGCUAACUACGUGCCAGCAGCCGCGGUAAUACGUAGGGUGCGAGCGUUAAUCGGAAUUACUGGGCGUAAAGCGUGCGCAGGCGGUUUGCUAAGACCGAUGUGAAAUCCCCGGGCUUAACCUGGGAACUGCAUUGGUGACUGGCAGGCUAGAGUAUGGCAGAGGGGGGUAGAAUUCCACGUGUAGCAGUGAAAUGCGUAGAGAUGUGGAGGAAUACCGAUGGCGAAGGCAGCCCCCUGGGCCAAUACUGACGCUCAUGCACGAAAGCGUGGGGAGCAAACA
rnacentral:rRNA from 1 species